GAUUUAGUAGACAGAAGCUUCGGUGGAAGAUUACUAAUGAGAGUGGCGAACGGGUGAGUAACGCGUGAGCAACCUGCCUAUGACAGUGGGAUAGCCUCGGGAAACCGGGAUUAAUACCGCAUAAAAUCGUAGAAACACAUGUUUUAGCGGUCAAAGAUUUAUCGGUCAUAGAUGGGCUCGCGUCUGAUUAGCUAGUUGGUGAGAUAACAGCCCACCAAGGCGACGAUCAGUAGCCGGUCUGAGAGGAUGAACGGCCACAUUGGAACUGAGACACGGUCCAAACUCCUACGGGAGGCAGCAGUGGGGAAUAUUGCACAAUGGGGGAAACCCUGAUGCAGCGACGCCGCGUGAACGAAGAAGGUAUUCGUAUCGUAAAGUUCUGUCCUAUGGGAAGAUAAUGACAGUACCAUAGAAGAAAGCUCCGGCUAAAUACGUGCCAGCAGCCGCGGUAAUACGUAUGGAGCGAGCGUUGUCCGGAAUUAUUGGGCGUAAAGGGUACGCAGGCGGUUUAAUAAGUCGAAUGUUAAAGAUCGGGGCUCAACCCCGUAAAGCAUUGGAAACUGAUAAACUUGAGUAGUGGAGAGGAAAGUGGAAUUCCUAGUGUAGUGGUGAAAUACGUAGAUAUUAGGAGGAAUACCAGUAGCGAAGGCGACUUUCUGGACACAAACUGACGCUGAGGUACGAAAGCGUGGGGAGCAAAC
rnacentral:rRNA from 2 species